rnacentral:rRNA from 1 species
UACAGAGGGGGCAAGCGUUAUUCGGAAUUAUUGGGCGUAAAGGGCGCGUAGGCGGCGACUCUAGUCAGAUGUGAAAGUCCUGGGCUUAACCUGGGGACUGCAUUUGAUACUGGGUUGCUUGAAUUCGGGAGAGGAUAGCGGAAUUCCCAGUGUAGAGGUGAAAUUCGUAGAUAUUGGGAAGAACACCGGUGGCGAAGGCGGCUAUCUGGACCGACAUUGACGCUGAGGCGCGAAAGCGUGGGGAGCAAACAGG